GAUGAACGCUGGCGGCGUGCUUAACACAUGCAAGUCGAACGGUGAAGGCGGAGCUUGCUCUGCUGGAUCAGUGGCGAACGGGUGAGUAACACGUGAGCAAUCUGCCCCUGACUCUGGGAUAAGCGCUGGAAACGGCGUCUAAUACUGGAUACGAGCUGCGAAGGCAUCUUCAGCAGCUGGAAAGAACUUCGGUCAGGGAUGAGCUCGCGGCCUAUCAGCUUGUUGGUGAGGUAACGGCUCACCAAGGCGUCGACGGGUAGCCGGCCUGAGAGGGCGACCGGCCACACUGGGACUGAGACACGGCCCAGACUCCUACGGGAGGCAGCAGUGGGGAAUAUUGCACAAUGGGCGAAAGCCUGAUGCAGCAACGCCGCGUGAGGGACGACGGCCUUCGGGUUGUAAACCUCUUUUAGCAGGGAAGAAGCGAAAGUGACGGUACCUGCAGAAAAAGCGCCGGCUAACUACGUG
rnacentral:rRNA from 1 species